rnacentral:rRNA from 1 species
UGCAAGUCGAACGAGAAAGUGGUAGCAAUACCAUGAGUAAAGUGGCGCACGGGUGAGUAACACGUGACUAACCUACCCUGGAGUGGGGGAUAACUGAGGGAAACCUUAGCUAAUACCGCAUAAUACCUACGGGUCAAAGGAGCAAUUCGCUUUGGGAGGGGGUCGCGGCCGAUUAGUUAGUUGGCGGGGUAAUGGCCCACCAAGACGAUGAUCGGUAUCCGGCCUGAGAGGGCGCACGGACACACUGGAACUGAAACACGGUCCAGACUCCUACGGGAGGCAGCAGUGGGGAAUUUUGCGCAAUGGGGGAAACCCUGACGCAGCAACGCCGCGUGGAGGAUGAAGUCCUUCGGGACGUAAACUCCUUUCGAUCGGGACGAUUAUGACGGUACCGGAAGAAGAAGCCCCGGCUAACUUCGUGCCAGCAGCCGCGGUAAUACGAGGGGGGCGAGCGUUGUUCGGAAUUAUUGGGCGUAAAGGGUGCGUAGGCGGUUUGGUAAGUCUCUUGUGAAAUCUAUGGGCUCAACUCAUAGUCUGCAAGGGAAACUGCCGGGCUUGAGUGUGGGAGAGGUGAGUGGAAUUUCCGGUGUAGCGGUGAAAUGCGUAGAUAUCGGAAGGAACACCUGUGGCGAAAGCGGCUCACUGGACCACAACUGACGCUGAUGCACGAAAGCUAGGGGAGCAAACAGGAUUAGAUACCCUGGUAGUCCUAGCCCUAAACGAUGACUGCUUAAUGUGACGGGUACCCAAUCCCGCCGUGCCGUA